AAAAAUAUUUUUCUCUUUCCCAUUUUGGAAACUCAGUUCUUUUUUUUCUCUCUCUCGAGCCGCGUCGGCCUCUUCCUUCGCCGGCGUCUAUCUUCCUCUUCCGCCCACCUCUGGACGAGCAACCACGUCCAGCAGCUUCGCCUCAUUCCUCUGAAGCCGUCUGUGGCAGCCUUUCACGGCGGCACGGCCUGUAGCGGCGGUGGCAAGCUCGUUCCGAUUUGAGUCAACGCCGGUUUUCUCCUAGUUCCGGCCACCAAAACUUCCGUUCCUUAGCUCUAUGAACUCGCCUCAACCUGCUGAUCAUUAUCCCAGAAGUAUAGCACCUGGAGUGAUCGGGUGCACGUUCGUCGGAGCUCAACCGGUUUUCUAUCGAAAACCAAACCUUUCGAUCGAGAUAUCUCGAGUUACAGACCACCUAUUCCUGUGAUUCUUCAGCCGGUGAACUUAGGUUGAAGUUCUGAACAACUUUCAUGAAGGGAUCGAAGCGAGUUGUUGAAGUUUUUACGUCGGAACUCAAGCUCGCCGGAUUCUGGAAAUUUUCCGGCCACCGAAGCUUUCGAUCGUGAUAUCUCGAGCUGUAGAGCUUCGUUUUGAGUGAUUAUUGAACCAGUGAGUUCGCCUUGAUGUUCUUAACAACUUCCAAAAGGGAUCGAGGCCUGAAGUUGAAGUUUUUAUGUCGAAAUCAAGCUUGCCGGUUUCUGCAAUUCUCGCCGGUUUUUGGAAAAUUUCUGGCCAAGUUCAACUGUUCUAGGUGAUUGACGGUCUUCCUUGGUGAGAGGUUUCGGUGUGUAUUGUGAAAUUGAAGACGCAGCGGGAUUAUCGAGCGGGUAAUCCUACAAGUCAGGAGAACCAAGACGAUGAUCGGGCUGCUUAUAGUGGUGGCAUUUGAGUUACAGCUUUAUUGUGAGGUUGUUAUGCUCAUUGAGCUUACAUUUAAAUUUGGAGGGAGUGUGUUGUAAUAUUAAACUCUUGAGGAUUUGGUUUAUAUAUUAGUGAGUGAGGCAAGGUGUGUUUAUUUCUGAGAAAAAAAAAAUUCAGAACGUUUAUUUGAUUAAGUUGUUUAUUUCAUGUUUCGGAUUUGAAUUUAUUAUUCAAAAUUCGGGGCGUGACGCCAAAUGCAGGAAACAUUAGAUUUAAACAAACAUGGGGGAGAAGGAUUUUAGAACCCCAAUUGUAAUACCUUGCAAAUUUGUGACACAAAGUAUAUAAUUAGUUAAUUUAUGUAAGCUCAGAAAAAAAAAUUAAAGGAGUUAAGAUGAAAUUUUUGAGAUUUAGUUUUAUUAUCUCAAUAAUUAUUAAGGGUGCCUUAGACAAAAUUUUCUGCAAUUUUCAUGAGUGAUAAUGUCUAGUUUAAGGACUGGGUAAGUUAGUAUUAAAGUUCCUAUCGACAAGAGUCUGUGGAAAUUUACGUGAAAAUUUUCAGAUACCUAAGGUAUUUAUUAUUAAAUUUUAAAAUUUGAGAAUUAAGAAAAUUUAUUUGAAAUAAAGGAAAUUUAAGUGGUUGAUUCUGGAUUGUUGGCUAUCACCGCUAAUCUUAACGGUUGAAGCUUAUAAAGGUAUAUAUAAGAUUAGACCAUCUGAGGAAGGGGGCAGAAGCUUAUUCUCGCUUCGUGAACACAGGCAGAGUCUCAUCUCUCGCCACUCACCGACGCUGCCCAAAACCAGUCUCAUCUUUCUUUUCCUCUCAUGAAUCAGGAACCAUCAUCAUUGUCACCUCUGAUUAUUAUCAUGGGUUGAGGAAGGAGUAUCAGAAUCUUUUCCUCCGCUCUCAAAUUUGAUGUCUGCUAACAGAGCUUUGGAAAUCAAUAGAUCCCUUUGUAAAAACGUCUCUCUUCUCUCUGUCUUCUCAAUAGAGCUAUGAUGUUACUCGAUGGCGGUAAUAUAAGGUGUUUAUUUUGGUCUAUGCGUAUGCGACGGUAAGUUCAUUGAUGUUGGAAACAUGGUUUCUCCCACAAUUUUUGUCCGUCGUAGUUUGUCUUAUCUCAUGAAUGAGAUGCCUCUGGAAGCUUUAAACGAUGCAAUGCAAGCUCAAGUAAUUUCCCCAAUAUGGCACAUUGCAUCUUAUCUACAGGUCGCUGCCCUUUCUGCACUCGGAUGGAGGCUGAGGCGCAAUCAGCACUGAAGGAGGGUACUGUGCUUGAAACCAAAAGGAACACUGCAGCUGGACUCGAGUGAAAAAUCAAGGCUCAGUAACGAUUCAGUUGAUAGCAAAUGAUACACUCGAUUAGUGUGGAAAUGAUUUCUCUUGGUCAGCAGACAUUUUUUUGCUACCACUCCCCGUUCUUUUUCAAGGUUAUUCUAGAGGACAAUUCAAAGGGACCUCAAACUGGUAAUUGUGCCUCUGUUUCUGUAUACCUCUUUCGUAUUUUAAGUCAUUAUGCCUAUGCUUCUACUUGUUAGCCUUCUAUUGUACAUAUUAGUUUGUUUAUUUGCAAUAUUUCAAUAGAUUUAUGUGGCAUGCAUUAAUGGAUGUAAUGUAUAUGAUAUGCUCUUGCUAGAGGGUUGCAAGUGAUUUGGUCUGUUUUGUAUAAUUGUCCCUGAGAAAUUUUAUUUUCUGUAC